CACUCCUGCGGGAGGCAGCAGUGGGGAAUUUUGGACAAUGGGCGAAAGCCUGAUCCAGCCAUGCCGCGUGCAGGAUGAAGGCCUUCGGGUUGUAAACUGCUUUUGUACGGAACGAAACGGCCUUUUCUAAUAAAGAGGGCUAAUGACGGUACCGUAAGAAUAAGCACCGGCUAACUACGUGCCAGCAGCCGCGGUAAUACGUAGGGUGCAAGCGUUAAUCGGAAUUACUGGGCGUAAAGCGUGCGCAGGCGGUUAUGUAAGACAGUUGUGAAAUCCCCGGGCUCAACCUGGGAACUGCAUCUGUGACUGCAUAGCUAGAGUACGGUAGAGGGGGAUGGAAUUCCGCGUGUAGCAGUGAAAUGCGUAGAUAUGCGGAGGAACACCGAUGGCGAAGGCAAUCCCCUGGACCUGUACUGACGCUCAUGCACGAAAGCGUGGGGAGCAAACAGGAUUAGAUACCCUUGUAGUCCC
rnacentral:rRNA from 1 species